AUUGAACGCUGGCGGCAGGCCUAACACAUGCAAGUCGAGCGAGCGGCGGACGGGUGAGUAAUGUCUGGGAGACUGCCUGUUGGAGGGGGCUAACUACUGGAGACGGUAGCUACUACCGCAUCCCAUCAGAUGUGCCCAGAUGGGAUUAGCUAGUAGGUGGGGUAAUGGCGCACCAAGGCGACGAUCCCUAGCUGGUCUGAGAGGAUGACCAGCCACACUGGAACUGAGACACGGUCCAGACUCCUACGGGAGGCAGCAGUGGGGAAUAUUGGACAAUGGGCGCAAGCCUGAUGCAGCCAUGCCGCGUGUAUGAAGAAGGCCUUCGGGUUGUAAAGUACUUUCAGCUGGGAGGCGUUACCCGCAGAAGAAGCACCGGCUAACUCCGUGCCAGCCGCCGCGGUAAUAC
rnacentral:rRNA from 1 species